rnacentral:rRNA from 1 species
ACUGCUCAGUAACACGUGGACAACCUGCCCUUAGGUUGGGUAUAAACCUGGGAAACUGGGUAUAAUACCCGAUAGGUCUCGAUUGCUGGAAUGCAUCGAGAUUUAAAGCUCCGGCGCCUAAGGAUGGGUCUGCGGCCUAUCAGGUAGUAGUGGGUGUAGCGUACCUACUAGCCUACGACGGGUACGGGUUGUGAGAGCAAGAGCCCGGAGAUGGAUUCUGAGACACGAAUCCAGGCCCUACGGGGUGCAGCAGGCGCGAAAACUUUACAAUGCUGGCAACAGCGAUAAGGGAACCUCGAGUGCCAGGUUACAAAUCUGGCUGUCGAGAUGCCUAAAAAGCAUUUCAUAGCAAGGGCCGGGCAAGACCGGUGCCAGCCGCCGCGGUAACACCGGCGGCUCGAGUGGUAACCGUUAUUAUUGGGUCUAAAGGGUCUGUAGCCGGCCGGAUAAGUCUCUUGAGAAAUCUGGCAGCUUAACUGUCAGGCUUUCAGGAGAUACUGUCUGGCUCGAGGCCGGGAGAGGUGAGAGGUACUUCAGGGGUAGGGGUGAAAUCUUGUAAUCCUUGAAGGACCACCAGUGGCGAAGGCGUCUCACCAGAACGGACCUGACGGCAAGGGACGAAAGCUAGGGGCACGAACCGGAUUAGAUACCCGGGUAGUCCUAGCCGUAAACGAUACUCGCUAGGUGUCGGCCACGGUGCGACCGUUGUCGGUGCCGUAGGGAAGCCGUGAAGCGAGCCACCUGGGAAGUACGGCCGCAAGGCUGAAGCUUAAAGGAAUUGGCGGGGGAGCAC